UACGUAGGGUGCAAGCGUUGUCCGGAAUUAUUGGGCGUAAAGAGCUCGUAGGCGGUUUGUCGCGUCUGCUGUGAAAACCCGAGGCUCAACCUCGGGCCUGCAGUGGGUACGGGCAGACUAGAGUGUGGUAGGGGAGACUGGAAUUCCUGGUGUAGCGGUGAAAUGCGCAGAUAUCAGGAGGAACACCGGUGGCGAAGGCGGGUCUCUGGGCCGAUAUUGACGCUGAGGAGCGAAAGCGUGGGGAGCGAACAGG
rnacentral:rRNA from 1 species